rnacentral:rRNA from 1 species
CUAUGCGCCUUGCCAGCCCGCUCAGGUGUGCCAGCAGCCGCGGUAAUACGGAGGAUGCGAGCGUUAUCCGGAUUUAUUGGUUUAAAGGUGCGUAGGUGGUUAAUUAAGUCAGCGGUGAAAGUUUUGUGGCUCAACCAUAAAAUUGCCGUUGAAACUGGUUGACUUGAGUAUAUUUGAGGUAGGCGGAAUGCGUGGUGUAGCGGUGAAAUGCAUAGAUAUCACGCAGAACUCCGAUUGCGAAGGCAGCUUACUGAACUAUAACUGACACUGAAGCACGAAAGCGUGGGGAUCAAACAGG